GGGUUGUGAGGUUAAGCGACUAAGCGUACACGGUGGAUGCCCUGGCAGUCAGAGGCGAUGAAGGGCGUGCUAAUCUGCGAUAAGCGCCGGUAAGGUGAUAUGAACCGUUAUAACCGGCGAUACCCGAAUGGGGAAACCCAGUGUGACUCGUCACACUAUCAU
rnacentral:rRNA from 2 species